UGGGGAAUUUUGGACAAUGGGCGAAAGCCUGAUCCAGCAAUGCCGCGUGUGUGAAGAAGGCCUUCGGGUUGUAAAGCACUUUUGUCCGGAAAGAAAUCCUUGGCUCUAAUACAGUCGGGGGAUGACGGUACCGGAAGAAUAAGCACCGGCUAACUACGUGCCAGCAGCCGCGGUAAUACGUAGGGUGCAAGCGUUAAUCGGAAUUACUGGGCGUAAAGCGUGCGCAGGCGGUUUGCUAAGACCGAUGUGAAAUCCCCGGGCUCAACCUGGAACUGCAUGGUGACUGGCAGGCUAGAGUAUGGCAGAGGGGGGUAGAAUUCCACGUGUAGCAGUGAAAUGCGUAGAGAUGUGGAGGAAUACCGAUGGCGAAGGCAGCCCCCUGGGCCAAUACUGACGCUCAUGCACGAAAGCGUGGGGAGCAAACAGGAUUAGAUACCCCUGGUAGUCCACGCCCUAAACGAUGUCAACUAGUUGUUGGGGAUUCAUUUCCUUAGUAACGUAGCUAACGCGUGAAGUUGACCGCCUGGGGAGUACGGUCGCAAGAUUAAAACUCAAAUGAAUUGACGGGGUCAUAGCUGUUUCCU
rnacentral:rRNA from 1 species